AUUGAACGCUGGCGGCAGGCCUAACACAUGCAAGUCGAGCGAGCGGCGGACGGGUGAGUAAAGUCUGGGAAACUGCCGGAUGUGGAGGGGUAACAACUGGAAACGAUAGCUAAUACCGCAUCACAUCUGAAUUGCCCAGAUGGGGUGAGCGAGUGGGUGGGGUAACGGCUCACCUAGGAGACGAUCCUUAGCUGGUCUGAGAGGAUGACCAGCCACACUGGAACUGAGACACGGUCCAGACUCCUCCGGGAGGCAGCAGUGGGGAUUAUUGCACAAUGGGGGCAAGCCUGAUGCAGCCAUGCCGCGUGUGUGAAGAAGGCCUUCGGGUUGUAAAGCACUUUCAGCGGGGAGGCGUUACCCGCAGAAGAAGCACCGGCUAACUCCGUGCCAGCAGCCGCGGUAAUUC
rnacentral:rRNA from 1 species